GCUCUUGAUAAAAACCAGUACAUUACAGCAGUAUUAAUGGAUCUUUCUAAGGCUUUUGACUGCCUGCCUCACAAUAUUAUGCUAGAUAAAUUAUCAGCAUAUGGUUUAACCCCCCAAUGCAGUUGCUCUUUUAAAGUCCUAUUUAUCAAAUCGAAAACAGCAAAUUAAAGUCAACAAUGUUCUGAGUGGUUGGGCUGACAUCCAUAAAGGCGUACCGCAGGGUUCGAUACUAGGGCCAUUGUUGUUUAACAUAUUUAUAAAUGAUAUUUUUUUUUUUGUUAAAAAUGGUACUUUAUAUAACUAUGCAGAUGAUAAUACUUUGUCUUUUUGUACUCCAGAUUUCGAUUUAUUAAUUUCAACUUUGGAAUCUGAUUCAAAAAUACUUAUUGAGUGGUUCAGGGUGAAUAAAAUUCAAGCAAAUCCCGACAAAUUUCAAGUUGGCAAAAAGACCUUUGAAAAGAACCCAUCUAUACAUAUUCAAAAUUCGAACCUUACAUGUGAAAAAAAACAGUAAAAUUAUUAGGCAUUG
rnacentral:lncRNA from 1 species